rnacentral:rRNA from 1 species
UACGUAGGGGGCAAGCGUUGUCCGGAUUUAUUGGGCGUAAAGAGCGUGUAGGCGGCCAGGGAGGUCCGUUGUGAAAACUCGAGGCUCAACCUCGAGACGCCGAUGGAAACCCCCUGGCUAGAGUCCGGAAGAGGAGAAUGGAAUUCCUGGUGUAGCGGUGAAAUUCGUAGAUAUUAGGAAGAACACCAGUGGCGAAGGCGGCUCACUGGUCCGGUACUGACGCUGAGGUGCGAAAGCGUGGGGAGCAAACAGG